UGUGCCGUCGGAGAAGGUAACCACGGGUCGAGUCUUGUCGUCGGUUCUGAAGGGUGUUGGAGCGGCGUGCAGGUGUUAGAAAGUGCCACCCAUCGUUGUGCGGAAAGUGAAGAAAAGCAGUCGAUAAAGUUACCUUAGUGAUUCUACCAGAAGUCAUUCCAUCAUACUGCCUUCCCUGCCGUGUCCCGCCCGCCGACGUGUCCUCUUCAACCAAAAGGGCCGUUGCCGAUCGAUCGAUCGGCGGCUGUUCCUCCCCCUCUCUCUUUGUGGUUGGUGGAGGUGAUCGAAGUUUCAAAUCCCUCGGAAGGAUUGAAGACAACCAAAAAAAAAAAGCAAAUAAUUAUCCCGACACUUGUUCACAAAUCUACAUUCUACAUACACGUACAUCGCCACCGACGAUAAGAAAAAUUGAAAUCCAUCUUCAGUACAGUUGCCGUCGUCUUCGUCGUUGUCGUCGUCGUCGUCGGUUAGAUUAGCCCUACGAGGACAACCACAGACGAUUUAACACUCUCACACACACACAGCACACACACACGGACCUACAAACACCCGCAUCCAUUAACCAGCGAAGUGUGCAGAAGGACGCUCCGGCGCUAAGAAGCAGUCAAAAUGACGAAGGAUAGAUUAGCAGCUUUGCAAGCGGCACAAAGCGACGAUGAGGACAUGCCCGAGGAUGUGGCUGUCCCGGUGGAGGGCAGCUUCAUGGAGGACUUCUUCAAGGAGGUGGAGGAGAUACGGAUGAUGAUCGACAAAAUCCAGGCGAACGUCGAGGAGGUGAAGAAAAAACACAGUGCCAUCCUUUCGGCGCCACAGUCAGAUGAAAAAACCAAACAAGAACUCGAAGACCUCAUGGCCGACAUCAAAAAAACUGCCAACAGAGUUAGAGGGAAGCUCAAGGGUAUCGAACAAAACAUUGAGCAGGAGGAGCAGCAGAGCAAGUCGAACGCCGAUCUGAGGAUACGAAAAACGCAGCACUCAGCUCUUUCGCGCAAGUUCGUCGAGGUCAUGACGGAGUACAACCGGACCCAGACCGACUACCGAGAGCGGUGCAAAGGAAGAAUACAACGACAGCUGGAAAUUACGGGUAGAGCUACGACAAACGAGGAGCUGGAGGAGAUGUUGGAGCAAGGAAACUCGGCCGUCUUCACGCAGGGGAUUAUCAUGGAGACCCAGCAGGCGAAGCAAACGCUGGCUGACAUCGAGGCACGGCAUGCGGAUAUUAUAAAAUUGGAAAAUUCAAUUAGGGAGCUGCAUGACAUGUUCAUGGACAUGGCGAUGUUGGUUGAAAGUCAGGGUGAAAUGAUUGAUCGUAUAGAAUAUCACGUCGAACAUGCAAUGGAUUAUGUUCAAACAGCGACACAAGACACAAAGAAAGCGCUUAAAUAUCAAAGCAAAGCCCGCCGGAAAAAAAUCCUGAUCGCUAUCUGCGUUCUGGUAACGAUCAUCAUAUUAGUAGUGUUCCUGGCAGUUUAUCUUACGUAGACGGGAAGCUGCUUAUCGCCGCGUCAAACCAAGAUGGGUAGUAGAAAAAGUGUGUUCAUGAAUCAUCCGACCGAAGUGAAAAAAGUCAUGAUAGCAGUUUGCCUUUCAAUAACGCUCCUAGUAAUAAUAAUUAUUAUUUUCGUAACGUAAACUUAGGCAAGCACAUUAUCAUAAGCAAGGGCGGUAAACAAGUUUCAGUUUAUUGGAAAGCACCAGAAGAGGUAUAGGAUGAAUCAAUGGAACCGUGUAAUGUUCCUUCGCGCUACGUCACCACCAAACACAAGGGUAGGAUUACGGAAGGAUACUGCGAAGCGUAAGUCAGAACUUUUUUUGUCCGCAAGAUUGGAAGCGUGGCGAGAGAAAUUAAUCAUGGAAGGCUGGUUCUAUGAAAAAGUGAAAAAUUCGCGCUUGCUAGAUGAAUUAAGUGUGGAUGUUCUUGUAAAUUAAAAUAUUAUGUUCUUACUCAUGUAAACCAAAACGUAGCUCCACUAUGUUACAACCUCCUAGUGCUUCUUUGUUUUAAGCCUGCCAACCUACGUUGCAGAACCGUGAGAACAACCGAACACAAGUGUUAAGUGUUAAUUAAUGUAACAGUGUAUGGCAUUUAUGCUUACAAGGAUGUGCGAAGGUUUCAAAUGGUACAGAAGAACAACUUUCCUCGUACAAACCGAGCAUUGUUUUAUUUACUGGGUAUCUGAUCAGUGCUACAACUAUAUGCAAACUUUGGGGAUGUGAACAUAGUGUCAAAAUUCGAUCAAAUAUUUAUUACAUAGUUUCACAAAAGAAAAAGAAUAGAGAAAGAUUGUCAUAUAAGUGGUCGCACUUUGUUGAAAUCGAUUAUAGAAAACCUUUUUGACUGCAAAUGCGUUUAUGAAGUGAUAAUUGCCGAACAAUAUAAAAUAAGUAAUAUUUUUAAACUUGAUUGUAAUGGUAUUGUUUAUUUUUGUUUGUUGAUUCAGUAAAAUUCUUUAACAC